rnacentral:piRNA from 1 species
UNGAAAUGAGAGCCUGGAACACUUGGCAAGC